AUUAGUAGUCAAAGCAAAUAAUAAGACAAAAAUGCACCGGGGCGCUCGACUUUCUACUGUUUGUGUGCUGCAACACUAAAUGAAUUGCUUGGACGAUAAUCAUAUCUCACGAGACCAGAAUGGAGAAAACAAGUGCUCAUUCAGCAGACACAAUGGGUCCUGUCGCGCAGAUAUUUUUUACACCAAAAAGGAGCGGUGCAACAAUGGUGCCUAGUGCAUCUGUGGGAAAGAAUCUUCUCUUUUUUCGUCUCGCUCGUUCUCCCCAAAAAGAGCAGCGCUUUCUUUCAUCAGAGCCAACCGAGCCUCCUACACCUUUCGCGAAAAUAGCAAGAAAAAAAUCGGGCUUGGAGAGUUUGUUCAGCAAAGGUGAGGAGAGAGCAUUGAAUCGCGCCGGGUCUUCUUUCCUGGCCACCCACGACAUCACUGAAAGCUUUUUCGAGUGAAUGAAAAAAUAUCACACAACAGGAGGAACUGAAGACCUACAGUUUCCGGAUCCUUUUCAUUCCAUUCUGAUUCAGUGAUUUUAUAAAAAAAAAAAUCAAUAUUAGCACCAGAUGGCCUAAGGUGGCAAAUUUUUUUUGUAAAAAUUCAAUGAUUUACUCAUUCGAUUUGCUCAUUCAAAUCUUUUGCAUAAUUUACACAAUUUUGAUUGAUUUCGCCUGUCUAAAAAAUAAUUGGAACGUUUAUAGGAACAAUUUUAAAAUUGUUUUUGGUUGAAAAAUAUUUUUAAGUAUUAAAUCAACUUGACUCUUUGGUUGUGGUAAAAAAGAAAAUUAACAGCUUUCUCAGUUCCCACAAUAUGUACGCUGAAAAUAAUUCAGGAUUAAAAAACGCAACUCUCUCUGCAGCAGCUCGAAUUGCAAGACGUCGUGAAUGUGCACGAGGAAAAUCCUGAACCAACAUUUACAUUUUGAAUAAACACACGCCUCUCAAUAGCUCACCGCUCGCUGGAAGAGAAAUUAAAUGCGCGGCAGGAGUUAUUAAACAAGCAAACAAGACCCACAACCGCGCGACGGCCGUUUUGUUAAAUCAAACAGAAAAUUCCAACUCUUUUAUUUAUUUUCCCUGAACGCGGCGAUUUUCGAGUCAGUUUGGUAAUUGGGGCGAAUUUCUCCGUUCCUAUACAUGGAACGGCUUUGACUCACUUAUAUUGCGAAGAAAUUAUAAAUUUGAAAUUUUGAUUGGGACGACCCGCACGCCGAUUUUGCGGUUCUAAAGUGGAAGAGCGUGAGCACCAGACUGUGAAAACUUUCUUUCGUCCGCUUCUAUUCUCCUGCCUGCGGCGCCUUUUACUUAUUUUCAGCUUUACAAGGACCUAAGUUUGAUUCACAGGAUGAAUGAGAAAGACGCUUCUAGAUGAAGUAGAGACGUUCCCAGCAUCCAUUAUAAUAAGUUGUUCAUCGUUUUCCUCAUCUUGCAAUUAAAUGAUUUAACUGGGAAUGCAUGCCGAAAAUUCAUGAUUUGUAAAAAAGCAAUUCUUUAUUAAGUCAAAAAAUUGAUAAUUUCUGUUUUGUUGACACGCAUUGGAGAACAUAAGUUCCUCUAGGAAAUCUUUUA